GACGAACGCUGGCGGCGUGCCUAAUACAUGCAAGUUGAGCGCUGAAGACUGGUACUUGUACCGGUUGGAUGAGCAGCGAACGGGUGAGUAACGCGUGGGUAACCUGCCCUAUAGAGGGGGAUAACUAGAGGAACCUUUAGCUAAUACCGCAUAAAAUCUAAUAACACAUGUUAUAAGAUUGAAAGUGCCAAUUGGUACACUAUAGGAUGGACCCGCGUUGUAUUAGCUAGUUGGUGAGGUAAAGGCUCACCAAGGCGAUGAUACAUAGCCGACCUGAGAGGGUGAUCGGCCACACUGGGACUGAGACACGGCCCAGACUCCCACGGGAGGCAGCAGUAGGGAAUCUUCGGCAAUGGACGAAAGUCUGACCGAGCAACGCCGCGUGAGUGAAGAAGGUUUUCGGAUCGUAAAACUCUGUUGUAAGAGAAGAACACCAGUAAGAGUGGAAAGCUUACUGGCUGACGGUAUCUUACCAGAAAGCCACGGCUAACUACGUGCCAGCCGCCGCGGUAA
rnacentral:rRNA from 1 species